GAUGAACGCUAGCUACAGGCUUAACACAUGCAAGUCGAGGGACCGGCGCACGGGUGAGUAACACGUAUACAAACUGCCCUUUACUCGGGGAUAGCCUUUCGAAAGAAAGAUUAAUACCCGAUGUAAAGGAUGGGGAUGCGUUCCAUUAGGUUGUUGGUGAGGUAACGGCUCACCAAGCCUUCGAUGGAUAGGGGUUCUGAGAGGAAGGUCCCCCACAUUGGAACUGAGACACGUGCCAAACUCAUACGUGAGGCAGUAGUGAGGAAUAUUGGUCAAUGGGCGUUAGCCUGAACCAGCCAAGUAGCGUGAAGGAUGAAGGCUUAUGGGUCUUAAACUUCUUUUAUAUAAGAAUAUGUAUUAUAUGAAUAAGGAUCGGCUAACUCCGUGCCAGCAGCCGCGGUAAUAC
rnacentral:rRNA from 1 species